UCUUUCAACAAUGGCACCACAGUGGAAAUUUGCCGUUCUCCUCCUGAUCUCAUUUUUCCUGGGAAACUUCCAAGCCAAUGGCAGUGUUUAUUGCGGUUUAGGGGGAGUAUGUAUGGAUAAGGUCUCCUGCUCCUAUCCUCGUGUAAUUUCAGGUCCAUGUGGCUAUAAUGAGGUUUGCUGUAGUAUGCGAUUUUAUGGAUAAUGUAUGCGAAAAAGAAUGCUCCUGAGAGAAUUCAUUAAAUAUCCUUUAUAAUAUUAUAAUAAAAAUUAAAAUGUAAUAAAAAAAAGAAUUGAACAUUAGUAAAACCUCGAUUAAUCAAUAAAAAACAAAAAAACUA